rnacentral:rRNA from 1 species
UUUAUGGAGAGUUUGAUCCUGGCUCAGAGUGAACGCUGGCGGCGUGCCUAAUACAUGCAAGUCGAACGAUGAAGCUUCUAGCUUGCUAGAAGUGGAUUAGUGGCGCACGGGUGAGUAAGGUAUAGUUAAUCUGCCCUACACAAGAGGACAACAGUUGGAAACGACUGCUAAUACUCUAUACUCCUGCUUAACACAAGUUGAGUAGGGAAAGUUUUUCGGUGUAGGAUGAGACUAUAUAGUAUCAGCUAGUUGGUAAGGUAAUGGCUUACCAAGGCUAUGACGCUUAACUGGUCUGAGAGGAUGAUCAGUCACACUGGAACUGAGACACGGUCCAGACUCCUACGGGAGGCAGCAGUAGGGAAUAUUGCGCAAUGGGGGAAACCCUGACGCAGCAACGCCGCGUGGAGGAUGACACUUUUCGGAGCGUAAACUCCUUUUCUUAGGGAAGAAUUCUGACGGUACCUAAGGAAUAAGCACCGGCUAACUCCGUGCCAGCAGCCGCGGUAAUACGGAGGGUG